AAGGUUCAGACUCUGCUCUGUACUACUGUGCACUGCAGGCCACAGUGAUGGAAGCUCCCUUAGGGCUGUCAUGAAAUGAAUGACUCCCUCGCCAGUCAUGGGAGCACUCAGUGUAUUACUGGUCUUGUCUCUCUUAAUAGGAGAAUCUGUUGGAAAUGCCAUAACAUCAUCGCAUUCUUCACUGGUCGUCAUUGAGGGAGGGAAUGCCACUUUCUCCUGUAACUACAGCAGUAGUACCAGUGGCAAUAGUUUACAGUGGUAUCGGCAGUACCCCAACUCCAUCCCAGAGUUCCUCUACUUCAUAUAUGAGGCUGGUACCACUUCAGACCCAGUUCCCCGUCUGACUCCCUCCAUAAAGACAGAGGAAAAGCGCGUGUUUCUGGAGCUCUCCUCUGCAGAGGCGUCUGACUCUGCUGUGUACUACUGCGCCCUGGUGCCCACAGUGACAGGAACUCAGACUCUGCUGUACAAAAACCUCUCAGAUGGAGAGAAAUUUAACAAAGAUCUAUCUGUUGGAAAUGUCCAUUCCAGUAAUGGCAAACACAAUUAUCCCCAUUCUGUAAUAAUGUGACCUAAAUGAUAUCAUAUUAGAUACCAGCCACAGAAGCAGUGGCAUGCAUAUUACUUAUGAAGGAUAUGCAUCUAGAAAAGUAUACAUUGUCAUUAUUUCGGUCGCCCGGUCGGGCCGCUUCGCACUCUACAACAUACGAAAAAUCAGGACUUACUUGAAUUACUUUACCCAACUCCUAGAACAGGAAAUAGUCAUCUCACGACUUAGCUACUGCAAUGCCCUCCUGACAGGUCUCCCAGCCUGCACAGUGAAACCACUUCAGAUGAUCCAGAACGCGGUGGGGGGCCUGGUCUAAAAGCAACCCAAAAGGGCACGUCACCCCGCUGCUCAUCCAGCUACACUGGCUACCUAUGGCCACCCGCAUCAAAUUCAAGUAUCUAACGCUUGCCUACAAAGUACAGUAGUCUCCGAUUCUGCUCCCACCAACUUUAAUGCCCUCAUACAGAUAUUAUGCUACUUCCCGACCGUUGCGCUCCUCAGACGAACAACGUCUAGCUCUGCCACCAGUGCGCUCAAGCCAAUCCAAACAGUCAAUCCAAAAGUUGACUGUUUAAAAACAGCACUCACUUAUAUUAAAUUGUCCUAUAAUUGUUCAGAGAAUUGCUUUAAAAAGCUUAAACUGUUUACCAUGUUGUUAGUCGCUUUGGAUAAAAAUGCAUCAGCCAAAUGUAAUGUACAGUAAUAUGUCCUCACAGGUAAAAUCCCUUUGUUCAGUUACAACUUAACAAUCAUUACCAUUACAAUCAAUUAAAGUUGUUGCCAAACAGUGAUGAAGGAACACUGAUGAUGGGCUAAAUUACUCUGUUGUUCCUGAAGGAGGCACUGAUGUUUCAGAUCUUAAAACUGAAAAGGCUGUAGCAGAUGUGUCACUCUUACCUGACUUUCUUUAGUGUCAAGGAGAGGUAACAAACAGAAGCAGCUAUACAAUGGAAUUCAUCUGUGUUACAAUGAUUGUGUUCCUGUUUAUAGAUGACACCAAAGAGGAUAUCAUUGCAUCUCUAGAUUCCACUAAGAAUGUUCUGGAGGAUGCCAGUGUCACAUUCUCCUGCAAGUACACUGUAGAUAUUAACUCUGUACACUGGUACCGUCUGUAUCCUGGAGCUACACCUGAAUUUAUCCUAUUCAUAACGGAGUACAACACCACGGGAGGAGCCCCACCAAGAAUGUUGUCUCACAUCAACAAAGACACCAAGCAUGUAAUUCUGGAGAUCUCAUCCGCUGAAGUCUUAGACUCUGCUGUCUACUACUGUGCUGUGCUGCCCACAAUGACAGGAAACAUACAGACACUGUACAAAAACCUAAUCAGUACAUGGUGCUAUUUAUUAUAAUGUUUCAUACCCAGUAUCAUUCAUUUUACUAUCAUAUCCUACUCCCAUCUGGCCGCAGAUACAGAGUCCUGGACUGGAAAAAAGCACACUUUAAGAAAAGUUUUGUACCCUCAGCUAUCACUGCACUAAACAAACUCCUGUGACAAUCAUCCAUCCCCCCUAUUGUUUUGUGUUUUAUGUUGUCUGCACUGUCCACCUUUUUGCUUGUAUGGUGUUGUUAU